AUUUUCUGAGCGCCACGUUCUCAUAUUUCACAGGAUUCACCAUCUAACUCCUGAGCUCCGCAUCUUGUGUUCGGAUUACGUCACGGAUGAUUGCCAUCACCUGUUACUCGUUCUGAUUCCAGGAUUCACCAUCUAACUCCUGAGCUCCGCAUCUUUUUUUCGGUGAGGCUGUACUGAGAGCGAGCUUUCAGGAUUUUUGUUCGUUUGGCUAUUUACCUCUCACCCACCACUUUGCGGCUCCUAGCUCAGGCUCUGUUUUCCAUUAUUGGAUUUAUUUUUGUUUCUGCUGUGUACCUGGAGUUCCCUGGCAUUUUUUGUUUCGGAUACUUUUGCUCUGUUGUGACUAAUAAACUGACUUAAAUGGCUUCCUGCUAUUGAGUCCCUUUUUGUUCAGUGACCGUAAUGGCGGAGAAGAUGAGAGGGGCGAUGGUAUCGUUGUGAGCCCGUUUUUGCAGGCGUUUCUUUGUUUUCUCCCGAAUUGCAGUAUAAGUGUGUUGAGCAAGUGGUAAACCGUAUGUUCCUGUCUUUCUGUAAAGUCAAAACGACUGCACAAGAAAAGCCAACAAGACGUGAGCGGACGAACUGUUGUUUUCAGCACGUGAGCACUAUUGCGCGUGAUUCAGACCGUUCAUGCGGCUCACCGAGGACUUUAUCUGAGGAUACCUGUUGCGUUAGCAAGGAGGACGGUAUCUAACGGGGGGGGGGGUUUGUGGACUGCGUGUGUGUGUGUGUUGUGGGCCCACAAACUGGUUGUUUCAUUUGAUGGAUGCUUUAACUGUUUACAUGCUAUAUUGGUGUUCAGUGUGAAACCAUAGUCUGUUAUUACAACGUGUUCUUAUUUGAAUUACAGAUUUCACAUUUUUCUGUGUCGUAAUAAUAAAGGUUUGUGCAUACGGUAUUACGUUUGGUUUGGGUGAACGUUACUGUAAUAUAUUUGUUUGUGCUUAUGGGAGUAAGUGAGUGUCUAGAGUUCAAAGCUCAUUUUUUGGGUUUAUAUUCGAGGUGAACAAGACUCAAACAACAGCCAUAGUGUGCGAUAUCCCUUUAUUCAAGCUUUAAGUGAACUGA